rnacentral:rRNA from 1 species
GACGAACGCUGGCGGCGUGCUUAACACAUGCAAGUCGAACGGAAAGGCCCUGCUUUUGUGGGGUGCUCGAGUGGCGAACGGGUGAGUAACACGUGAGUAACCUGACCUUGACUUUGGGAUAACUUCAGGAAACUGGGGCUAAUACCGGAUAGCAGAUCCUGCUGGAUGGUGGGGGGUGGAAAGUUUCGGCGGGUGGGGAUGGACUCGCGGCUUAUCAGCUUGUUGGUGGGGUAGUGGCUUACCAAGGCAUUGACGGGUAGCCGGCCUGAGAGGGUGACCGGCCACAAUGGGCCUGAGAGACGGCCCAGACUCCUACGGGAGGCAGCAGUGGGGAAUAUUGCACAAUGGGCGGAAGCCUGAUGCAGCAACGCCGCGGGCGGGAUGACGGCCUUCGGGUUGUAAACCGCUUUCGCCUGUGACGAAGCGUGAGUGACGGUAAUGGGUGAAGAAGCACCGGCUAACUACGUG